CCUAAGACAUGCUACAAAAAUAGGUCUUUAUUCUUAGGAAAAUAUAGUCAGAGCUAGCUUCCUUAUGCUAUACAUAAAAUCUUAACAUCAGAGGCAGUACAGAUAGUACAGAUAGUUUUUGAACUGAUCUCCAAACAAGCACAAACCCACUACGUUGAAAAGAACAGGUAAUUUUGAGGUUUUUGGCAAAAGACAGUACUUCACACAUCUAAUCCAAAUCAAAGAGCCUGCAGACAGUUUUCAGUGAGAUAAAAGGAAUGAAAUAAAUAUAAAUUCUACAGAUAAAUAAAUGUAAGAGAAUUUAAAUAAGCUAGCAGAACCUGGCCCUGAAAAAUAUUUUAGGCAUAUUACUGAAGGCAGACUGUGGUACUAAUAAAACUUGUAUCUUAAGUACUUUUUUAAAAAGUGACAGACAAAAAAGUCCAUCCACUAAUUUGCCC
rnacentral:lncRNA from 1 species